rnacentral:rRNA from 1 species
AUGGCGGACGGGGAAACUAUCCCGGAAUUUGCCAGGAAACUCACCACGCUGGUGAGCGAGAUGCGCUCCCUCGGCGUCAUCCUUGGGGAAGAGGCCGUGGUGGAGUGUCUGUUCAGCGCCGUGCCGGAUCGCUUCGCCGACAUCGUCAACACCAUCGAGCAGUGGGGCGACGUCACCACGAUGACGGUGCAGGAGGCCGUCGGACGCCUCACGGUGUUCGAGGAGAACCAGCGGGGGCGCCGCCAGAGCCGUGGUGACAACAGCGAGCAGUUGAUGCUCGUGACCCGCGCGCUGGAAACCCUUAUGAAGGGGAAGAAGUUCAUCCACAACAACGGGGCCUCCAGCUCUGGUGCAAAGAAAGGAGGCGGCCAGAGCGGUGGCCAAGGCGGCGGGCAGGACAAAGGCCGUGGUGAUCGCGGUCAGAACAAUGGAAAGGGCAAGCAGAAAAAGCAUCGUAAGUUUGACAUCUCAAAAGUAAAAUGUUUUAACUGUGAUGUGAAUGGACACUUUGCCUCGGACUGUCCGGAGCCGAAGCGUGAGCGUGCAAACCUGGCGCAGAAGCAAACUAAUGAAGAUCCAGCCUUGCUCAUGACCGAGAGAAAGGUCCUUGCAAAAGUUAGAAGAACACCAAACAGGCUCUACAUACUGAAUAUUGAGCAGUCCGACCCAGUUUGUCUAUUGUCCAAGACUUCAGAGGUUCCCUGGUUGUGGCAUGCACGCUAUGGGCAUAUAAGCUUUCAUGCUUUGAGACUGCUAGCAAAGGAGGCCAUGGUGCGUGGCUUACCAAUGAUUGAUCAGAUUGAUCGUUUGUGUGAGAACUGCUUGGUUGGCAAACAAAGAAGAGCUCCAUUCCCUGCUGAAGCCUCAUACCGAGCAGAUCGAGCACUUCAAUUGCUGCACGGGGACCUUUGUGGUCCUAUCUCCCCUCCAACCUUUGCCGGGAAGAAUUAUUUUCUGCUGCUAGUUGAUGACCACACAAGGUACAUGUGGGUUGUGUUGAUCAGAAGCAAAGAUGAAGCACUUGAGGCAGUUAAGAAGAUAAGAGCAGCAGUAGAGGUUGAACUUAAUCUGAAGGUGAUGGCACUCAGGACAGAUCGUGGAGGGGAAUUCAUGUCAAAGAAUUUUGCUCAAUUAUGUGAAGGCCUUGGGAUCAAGCACUACUUGACGGCGCCAUACUCCCCACAACAGAACGAUGUUGUUGAGAGAAUAAAUCAGACUGUUGUUGGAAUGGCUCGAAGCCUUCUGAAAGCCAAGGGAAUGCCUGGACAAUUUUGGGGGCAUGUGAAGAAAGUUGGACGGCACCUCCCAAAGUUGGGCGACCGGAGUACUGAAAUGGUGUUGAUUGGGUAUGAACCAAAUAGUAAAGCAUACAGACUGUUCGACCCACACAUGAAGAAGCUGUGUGUGUCUCGAGAUGUUGUGUUCGAGGAGGACAGACGCUGGGAAUGGACCACCGACGAUGCUGAGGGGAUCUCGGGGACUUUCUCCGUACAGUAUAAUGUACACCUUGAUGAUGCUUGUCAUGUAGCCCAGCCAAAGCAUACUGUUCACCAUCCGACAAGAACAAGUCUGAAGGAGAACAAGCUGACAGAUGAAGAAAUAGCAGCAGGGCUCAGACCAGAGGACUUUGUUACCCCAGCUAGAAAUGAAGCACCUACUGGACCUCGGUUUGUGUCACCUCCGACCGGUGCCUCGACGCCGACGAGCACCGAGGGACCACGCAGGUAUCGCCUCAUGGAAGAAGUCAUCGAAGAAGCACCAUUUGCAGCUGCUCGUGGGAUGGCACGCGCGAUUGUUGGAUCGUGGCGAGCUUUCAGUUUUUCUGUUAGCGACUGA